GUCUGCCCUCCACAGUAAGAUGCAGGCUGUAUUUCGGUCUUGAGUCAACACCUCUGCCUGUAUCAGGGCACGUCCUGGCCUUCGAUACCACACUCUUUGGCCUGAAAUCUGCGACUGAAUCACUAUAUUGGGUACCAAAGGGGGGGUUCUAAUUUGCCACAUGGACAUGAUUAAUGUCCCCUUUGCAAUGAAAACAGGGGUGUCAACUACUACCUCUGUUGGUCAUACACCGAUUACUGAUGGGUUUACUGAUCCCCCAACCUCUAACAAUCUCCCCCAAGGUGCAAGGAGACCACACCAUUUUGGUCCUGCUUGCACCUUCCAAGGCCAUUUUACCUUGUGUCUCCCGGGCUCUAGGUCAUCAGGGGCAGGGAGCAGAAGAUUAUUCAUGGUGCCAACUUGUGGCUUGAGUGAGGUGUCCUUGCUUGUAAUUUGAAUCCUAAGUGGGGAGGCCCAAGUUGUCUGCAGCAUUUUUAAAGCACUGGGUCUGCCAUCUCUUGGUCUCUCAUUCAAGUCUUGCAGGGUUUCAUAAAGCCUUUUGGUCCACCCCUGCAAGGACUGUGAAUCUGCCUUCAGAGCAGCCUUCAGGAUCCCAUUGUAGCUUUCUAUUAGGCCUGCUCCCGUUGGACUGUAGGGCAGGUGAAACCACCAUUCAAUGCUAUUGUCUUCAGCCCACUUCUGCACAGUUGCACCUGUGAAAUGUGUACCUUUUGAUCACUCUCAAUAACCUCAGGAGUCCCGUAUGAUGCCAUCAAUCUAGUUAGAGCUUUGAUGGUAUAGGCUUGGUUUGCCUUUGCUACAGGAUAGGCUUGCAUCAGUCCACUCGCUGUAUCAACACAAGUUAGGGCAUAUCUGGCCCCCUCAGAUCGAGGAAGGGGACCUAUAUAAUCAAUCUGCCAUCGCUGUAAUGGGUUGUGUCCUCUAGAGAGAUGGGCCGUAGUUUCCAGCAGAGGUCUUGGUCUCAUUCGUGAGCAAGCAUCACAGUCCUGACAUGCCUGGACAAUAUCUGGUAACUGUAUGGGCAACCCCCAUGCUUUAGCUGCUGCCCACAUGGUUUUCUGUCCUGCAUGCCGUAAUUUCCGAUGCAGCCAGUGAGCUAUGUCUUCUGAUGGUGUACUUCCCAACCAUCGGACUCGAGCCAGUGUGUCAGCUUCAUCAUUGCCUGGUGACUGCAAGGGUUGAUGUCCAGAGAUGUGGUAUGCUCGUACGGUCCUGUGCCUAACCACGUUCCAUAUAUCAACCCACAUAUCUUUGCCCCAGAUAGGUCAGGCAUGGAUUGUCCAAUCCUGAGUGGCCCACUGCGCUAUCCAGAGCGUGAGCCCUCAGUAGACUGCCCAACUGUCUGUGCAGAUGUUCAGUGAGCUGUUGCCAGGCUCCUGAGCUAUCACCAUCCACACAGCUUGUAGCUGAGCCCACUGGCUACUUUGUCCAUUCCCCUCUUCGAACCAUAUCUUUUCAGUUGAGGGAUGGUACGCGACAGCUCACCACGUACUUGGGUUCCCUCUUCAGUAUCCAUCUGUAUACCAGGCAUCUUCUGGGAUAGGGUAUUUCCCCUCCUGUACAGGACUCUUUUCUGGACAAGUAACCACUAUUUCCUCAGGUGUCUCGCUGUGAUAUGUUACUGGCCCAAGUAUCUUUUGAAGUUAUUCCUUCAGUGGAGAUGAUGGCAGGCGGCUUCUUUGGCUAAGAUAGGCAACCCAGCGUGCUACUGUUUGUGAUUGGGCCACCCCGGUCUUAGGAAUGUGAGUUAGGUCUUUUACCCACCCCUGAACUGGUAAAGUUGCUUUGACAAUAACCUCUGCGGUCUGAGUUAUUGGUUCUACUGCCUGCAAUGCAGAAUAGGUAGCCAAUAACUGCUUUUCAACCAUGCUGUAUCUCUCUUCUGCUCCAUGCCAAAUCUCCAUGCCAGAACCCAAUUGGGAUUCAAACAGAACUCUGGCGCUGCCACAGACCCCAGCCAAACCCUGCUUGGGUUACAUGCACAUCUAGUUCGGCUGGAAGGGUCGGAUCAAAUAUACCUAGCGCCUGGGCCUGUUUAACAGCUAUUUUUGCUUGCUGGAAGGCUUCUUGUUCUGUUCUACCCCAAUCCCAUACUUGGCCUUUUUUUGUUAAUCGAUAUAAGGGUUUUAGCAGUUGUGCUAAAUGGGAUAUAAAGGAUUGCCAGUAUCCUAAUAUACCCAAAAACUCCUGCAACUGCUUCGGUUUCGUAGGAACCGGGAACGCUUGGAUCUUAUCAAUGAUUGCACUGGGUAACACCUUAGUCUUACCUGACCAGACAACACCCACGAAUUUAACUGAUAGCCCUGGUCCUUGUACUUUUUGUGGGUUUAUAGCCCAUCCUUUUUCCUGUAAAUAAGUAAUUAAUGAUGGUACUGUCUUCUCUAAUGCCUCAAUUGAGUCAGACGUUAACAUCAGAUCAUCGAUGUAGUGGAACAUUUUGACAGUAGAUGGUUUGAUCCAAUUUGCCAAGUCACGUGCCACUAAAUUAUGACACAAAGUAGGUGAAUGCACGUACCCCUGAGGUAGAACUUGAAAAGUCCACUGCCUGCCCUCCCACGUGAAUGCAAACUGGUCUUGGGACUCCUUAGCAAUUGGAAUGCUGAAAAAUGCAUUUGCUAGAUCCAGAACGCAGUGGUAUGUUUCUAUUUCUCUACUUAAUGUAUCCAUGAGGGAAGCGAUGUUGGGUACAGCUGCAUGGAUCGGUGGCGUGACUUUAUUUAGUUCUCUGUAGUCUACUGUCAUUCGCCACAUACCAUCUGGUUUCCUGACUGGCCAUAUGGGGGAGUUGUAUGGGCUGUGUGCAGGUCUAAUAAUCCCUACUCUCUCCAGCUCCUGCACAGUCUUGGUAAUUUCUUGUUGCCCACCUGGGAGUCUAUACUGCUUUGUAUUUGUGAUCCGGCGUGGUUGUGGCAACCAAAUAGGUUCUAUUUUUGCAUGACCCCUUAUGAUUGCCUGCACUGCCCAGAUACUAAUACAUCUUUCCCUUAAUCUGAACUCUCCCACAGUGGUUUGGAGAGUCAAACCCGACAGGAUAUCAAUCCCCAAUACGUACUCUGGAACUGGGGCGAUAGACACCUUGUACUCCCGGGGUGGUAGACGCCCAACCCCCAGUUUCUACCAUGUUUGUGUUACGGGGAUCAUCUGCCCCCCAAACCCACCUAUCAUUGCCUUAGAGCCUGAAAAUUGGUUUGGGUCACCAUAUAUAAUUGAUGUUUCUGCGCCAGUAUCUACUAAUGCCAUAACCCGCUGCACAUUCUUUCGGGACCAGUGAAUCGUUAGUUCAACGUAGGGUCUCCGGUCUCCUCUGGAGACCCUAGUCUUGGAUAAUUUUGGCUCCCUGUCAUGCCAUCAGCUCUGCAAUCCCUAAGUCUUUUUCCUCUGUGGCUGUCUGGGCCACCUGAGGAGGUUUACAUUUUUUUGAUGGGACUAUGAAGUCUUCUAGAUUCCACGUGUUUUGUGGAAUCCGUUCUAUGAGUCUAACUCCUUCCCUUUUAGGGGAGCGUUGGAAUCUCUGACUGUUUGGUAACUGUUUCCAUAGUUGUAAUAAGACCUGAUUAGGCUGUCCGUUGAUCUUUUGAAAUUGUACUCCUGCCCUAAUCAGGUCAGUGUACAUUUGUUUUCUUGAGAUCUUGAUGGGUCCAGAUUGAAUUACAUUAGGGGCAGGUCUCCUAGGUCGUGGUGGCGGAUGGAUGUCCGACUUUUCCACCACCAUUCGGACAUUGCGCCUGGCGCGCAGGCGCUCUGUCUCCCCCAGAUCUGCCACCAAUUGGGCGGCCUGUUGUAUAAUGGCCUCUGAGGCCACUAGGGGAUUCAGUAUGGAUACCAAAGUACCAUACUGAUGUGGUGGAGCCUGCUGCAAGAUGAGGUCCCUCAUUCCUGCUGAAAAUUUUAUCAUAUCUGGGCUCUCAAAAUUCUAUUCAGUAAAUUGCCUCCUUCAUACCUAAUUCUUGGAUGUAAUUUUUUAAGUUCUCCAUAGAGGACCAUAGGCCGGUAUUUAAUGGUAGGUCCGUUUUAUUCGUCCAUGUCGCACGGCAUGCGGCCAUUAACCAUGUAAUCAGUGAAUGAUUUUCUUCAUUGUGUUGCACAGCCACAUAUAGUCUUUGCCUGAGGGCCAGGUGAGUAGUAAUGGAUGCCAGUUUUGAGAUUUCUGGCCCAUUCACCACAACUCUUUCUGCCCCCAUGUCAUAUAGUCUGAGCAACCAUGCUGGCACACUCUCUCUCGGUUUUUGUCUAAACCGUUGUAUUAAAUCCAUUAAUUCAGCUGCCGUGUAUGGGCGAGCUGUUACAUGUAGUGUGCUCUGGGCAGGGGGCCACUGGUCAGGGGGCAGCCCUGCUGGCCUGUCCUGUGUUUUUUUUUUGUUUUGUUUUUUGAGUUACAACUGGUUGGAUCUCAAAAGGAUCUAGCUCUAGUGGAGCCUCAAGAUCCGACUUUUUAGUGCUUUCAUUUUCUGAAUCCAGUUCAUGUGGAUUGUCUUGUAUAGGACCUCCAGUAAUUUCUAGAGAGAUGUUUCGGAUUUUUUGUACGGGAAUUAUAGGGUUAGGUUUUUUCCCUCUCAAAAUUGCAACCUGUCUUUCCAGUUCUUCCACAUGGUCACAAAAUAGUUGAUUUUCAUCAGUGAGAGCCUCUUCAGUUAUAUUUAGCUGGUUCAAGGCCAUCAGCAGCGGCCACGCCACCAUGGAGGCAGCUAACUGUCGUUCUCGUGUAGAGGAGUACAAAAGAAGAGCUGUGCACUUUGGCUGCCCAUCGGUGUGAAAACACUGCAGGACACCACAGCAAAGGCUUCGGAGAAGCUCCAACCCAGCCUAGUCGAAUAACUUUCCUAAUGGCUCAGCAAAUUGUGCAGUCUCCUGGCUCCAAGAAGUCACAUUGCACAAGGUGAUGAAAACUCCUCUUUUCUAAAAGUUAUCAUUUCAAUACACAAUCCUCUUUCUAAAGGUUACCUUUCAUCUAUGUUUAUGAUGGAAUAUUGUUCAUGAUCCUAAUAAAUUUUCUCCUCUUUUUUUUUUUUUUGAUAAAACUAAAUGAUAAAAUACCAUUCUGCCUGUUCAUUACUAACACAGAUUAAUUUAGAUUUGGCUGUUGAUCUCAGAUUGAUUUCAAACUAUGGGUAUACUUCACUGAUGCCAUUAUACAGAGGAGAAAACAAAGACAAAGAGUGUUACAAAACUUAGCAUACACAUUUCAGGAUAUGGAUCCAUGUGGUUUGAUUCUGUCUACGUGUGCCCAUAGCAGAGUAUGGGUUAAAAUUCAGGCCUUCCAUUCUCAGUGUUCUGCCUGGUGAGCUACAGAAUGGUUACAGCACGAUUUCCUUCUGCUUUAUUGUAUGACUUAAGAUAAUCCAUAAUGUUUAUCUUCAGCCUGCUGCAUCACACAGAAACAGACUGCACUUUACUUAUAUAUGUAUCACUGUAUUCUAAUCUCUUAAGGACUAUUAAAAAAAAUAAAGUGAUGAUGGCCCUAAUAAUUAUUCCAAGAACUGGACUUGAAGACUGUAUAUGAGAGAUUCUGUCUGGCUGCGUAUACUUGCAGCUCUUUUUUUUCCCACCCAGUGAUUUACCUUUCAAGUUGAUAUUUGAGUUUUAAGCAGGUUGUAGACUUGAAGUGUUGCACAGAAGAAUUGUAAGGACAUAAUAUCUAUAAUUAAGGACCACAUUUUGCUACUGAUCCUUGCAUUUUUUGCAUUAUAAAGUACUUGGGGUUGUGCAGACAGUCAGAUACUGGCACUAUUUAAACAUUCCCAACCUUAUUACUCAGCAUAAACACUGGAACAGAUACCAGAAUAAGCUUUCUUAGCCUGUUAGUUUUGACUCUAGGUUAAUAUUAAUAUAAAAUUAAGUUGUGAAGGAAAUGAGAACAUAUUCUUGACUGAAUCCUGAUUGCCAGCUUUACACAAACUGCUCUGGAUUACCAAUGAAAUUGGAACAGUAGGAACCAACAGACCAGUAGAAGUGUCUUCUUCUUACAGGCAGCUUGUGUCAUACAUCAUCAAGAGAAAUAUCUGAAGGUACACAGGUAAAUUUGGUUCCAUAUACUUUCAAAUAAAAAGGUUUUGAUACAUGUUGCCAGUUACUGAGAUCUGCCAUGAUUUCUGAACAGUACCCAAAGUACUUUGCAACCAAGCUUAAAUUGCAGUGUCUGACAUAAUCAAACAAAAUUGACUUCAGUCUUAGGAGGAGCCAUAUGUCAAUAUUGGAGACAGGUUCUUUUGGUUUAUUGGACAAGCUUUCAGUCUCAACUAGACUGGGCUACUUGAAAGAAGGAAAGAAAAUCCUGAAAGUGAUUGAUGCUACUGUAAGUUAGCCUGGGCCACCUAUCAAAACUGGGAUAUGCAGGGACUGAUCAUCCUAAAGAAGAAUAGCAAACCUUGUAGGCUUUAGCCCUGUGGCAUACAUCCCAUUUAACCUCCAGCAAUUUAGGCUGAAUCCCCUCUGCUUUUCUUGCUAAGUCUCAGGAGAUGUUCUGAGUAAAUAAAGGCUGCUACCCUCCUCAGCACCCUCCAACUCUUCCUAUCUGAG
rnacentral:lncRNA from 1 species